GAUGAACGCUGGCGGCGUGCCUAAUACAUGCAAGUCGAGCGAACGGACGAUAAGCUUGCUUUUCUGAUGUUAGCGGCGGACGGGAGAGUAACACGUGUAUAACCUACCUAUAAUACUGGGAUAACUUCGGGAAACCGGAGCUAAUACCGUAUAAUAUUUUGAACCGCAUGGGUCAAAAGUGAGAGACGGUCGUGCUGUCACUUCUAGAUGCAUCCGCGCUGCAUUAGCUAGUUGGUAAGGUAACGGGUUACCAAGGCAACGAUGCAUAGCCGACCGGUGAGGGUGAUAGGCGACCCUGGAAGUGAGCCGGGGUCCUGAGUCCUGCGGGACGGCGCAGUCGCGUAUCUGACGCAGUAGGCGAAAGUCUGACGGAGCAACGCCGCGUGAGUGAUGACGGCCUUCGGAUCGUAAAGCUGUGUUUUGAGGUAAGAACAUCUGUGUACGUAACUGUGCACAUAUUGACGGUACCUAAUCAGAAAGCCACGGCUAACUACGUG
rnacentral:rRNA from 1 species